rnacentral:rRNA from 1 species
UGAGGAAUCUUCCACAAUGGGCGAAAGCCUGAUGGAGCAACGCCGCGUGCAGGAUGAAGGCCUUCGGGUCGUAAACUGCUUUUAUAAGUGAAGAAUAUGACGGUAACUUAUGAAUAAGCACCGGCUAACUACGUGCCAGCAGCCGCGGUCAUACGUAGGGUGCAAGCAUUAUCCGGAGUGACUGGGCGUAAAGAGUUGCGUAGGUGGUUUGUUAAGUGAAUAGUGAAACCUGGUGGCUCAACCACACAGACUAUUAUUCAAACUGGCAAACUCGAGAGUAGCAGAGGUAACUGGAAUUUCUAGUGUAGGAGUGAAAUCCGUAGAUAUUAGAAGGAACACCAAUGGCGUAGGCAGGUUACUAGGCUAUUUCUGACACUGAGGCACGAAAGCGUGGGGAGCGAACCGG